GGGGAACGACAGGGGAGCUCCCCGGGAGCUGAGAGUGCGGACCGCCGCAGACCCUCGAACCUGAUCCGGUUAGCACCGGUGGAGGAAGUCGGGAAUCUCGACCA
rnacentral:ncRNA from 2 species